GAUAUUAACUUGGUGGAAGGUAAAUUCUGGCAAAGUUUCCAAUCCUUUCCCGAAGAGUAAUGCUACUCAUCAUCCUCUUUCUCAUCAUCCCAUGAUGUGGCAUUAGAUGAUUGAAAAUUAGAUGAUUGGUUCACAAGUAAAAUAUAAUAAAUAAUAUUCAAUCAUCUAAUGUCACAUCAUGGGAUGAUGGGAGAUGAUGAGAAAGAGGAUGUUGAAUAAAUUUGUUGUUUCCCGAAUAGCUAGGGAUGUACUAGUUAUUCCUAUCACUACGGUUGCUUCUAAGUCGGCGUUGAACACCGGAGGUCGUGUCUUGGAUGCUAAUUGGAGUUCAUUGUCCAUGACCACCGUCGAGGCCUUCGUUUGCACACAGAACUGGUUAAGUACAACGCCCAUUGGAGUAGAUACUGUUGAUGCCGAGAACUAUAGGCUUGAAUCAGGUAACUUUAUGAUUUUAAAUGAUUAUUUACAUAAUUUUAAUGUUUUCAUUAUUUAAGUUAUAAUUUAUAUGAUGUUGUAAAUCUAGCUGUGAACUCCAGACUAAUUGUGGAUGACUGAGAGUCUGAGACCGACGCAUUGUGGGAUGAUUACCAUCAUGCAAAACUCGUCAGAGUUAGAGGUGGAGGUGAGCUCAUAAUAUCACUUUGCUGAUGGUUUAGAAGUCUAUAUUAAAUAACUAAAGAAAAGAUAGUGCAUCUGAU